rnacentral:rRNA from 1 species
GGAGCAAGCGUUGUCCGGAUUUACUGGGUGUAAAAGGUGCGUAGGCGGCUAGGCAAGUCAGAAGUGAAAUCCAUGGGCUUAACCCAUGAACUGCUUUUGAAACUGCUUAGCUUGAGUGAAGUAGAGGUAGGCGGAAUUCCCGGUGUAGCGGUGAAAUGCGUAGAGAUCGGGAGGAACACCAGUGGCGAAGGCGGCCUACUGGGCUUUAACUGACGCUGAGGCACGAAAGCAUGGGUAGCAAACAGGAUUAGAUACCCUGGUAGUCCAUGCCGUAAACGAUGAUUACUAGGUGUGGGGGGUCUGACCCCCUCCGUGCCGGAGUUAACACAAUAAGUAAUCCACCUGGGGAGUACGACCGCAAGGUUG